rnacentral:tRNA from 1 species
GGUGCGGUAGCUCAGUUGGUAGAGCAAAGGACUGAAAAUCCUUGUGUCCGCGGUUCGAUCCCGCCCACACCA